rnacentral:rRNA from 1 species
GAGUUUGAUCCUGGCUCAGGACGAACGCUGGCGGCGUGCUUAACACAUGCAAGUCGAACGGUCUACCUCGACAGAAACCUUCGGGUUGAAGACGAGAUCUAGAUAGUGGCGGACGGGUGAGUAACACGUGAAUAAUCUGUCCUCAAGUCCGGGAUAACCUGGCGAAAGUCGGGCUAAUCCGGGGUAAGCUGAGAGUGUGGCAUCACACAAUCAGAAAAGGUGCUUUUAGCAUCGUUUGAGGAGGAGUUCGCGGUAGAUUAGCUGGCUGGUGAGGUAAUGGCUCACCAGGGCAACAAUCUAUAGCUGGUCUGAGAGGACGAUCAGUCACACUGGAACUGAGACACGGUCCAGACUCCUACGGGAGGCAGCAGUGGGGAAUCUUCCACAAUGGGCGAAAGCCUGAUGGAGCAACGCCGCGUGAGUGAAGAAGGUCUUAGGAUUGUAAAGCUCUGUCCUUAGGGAAGAACCGUGGGUAUAGUUAAUGAUACCCACCUGACGGUACCUUUGGAGGAAGCACUGGCUAACUAUGUGCCAGCAGCCGCGGUAAUACGUAGAGUGCAAGCGUUGUCCGGAAUUAUUGGGCGUAAAGGGUACGCAGGCGGAUAAUCAAGUCAAGCGUGAAAGGUGUCGGCUUAACCGACAGACUGCGUUUGAAACUGGUUAUCUUGAGUGUAACAGAGGAGAGUGGAAUUCCUAGUGUAGUGGUGAAAUACGUAGAUAUUAGGAAGAACACCAGUGGCGAAGGCGACUCUCUGGGUUAACACUGACGCUGAGGUACGAAAGCUGGGGGAGCGAACGGGAUUAGAUACCCCGGUAGUCCCAGCCGUAAACGAUGGAUACUAGGUGUUGGAGGUUCGAAUCCUUCAGUGCCGGAGUUAACGCAUUAAGUAUCCCGCCUGGGGAUUACGAUCGCAAGAUUGAACUCAAAGGAAUUGACGGGGGCCCGCACAACCGGUGGAGCAUGUGGUUUAAUUCGAAGCAACGCGAAGAACCUUACCGAGAAUUGACAUCCCGUGACCAUCUAUGAGAGUAGAAUUUAGCACUUAGUUGCUACAC